AUUGAACGCUGGCGGCAUGCCUUACACAUGCAAGUCGAACGGUAACGCGGGGCAACCUGGCGACGAGUGGCGAACGGGUGAGUAACGCAUCGGAACGUGCCCAGUAGUGGGGGAUAGCCCGGCGAAAGCCGGAUUAAUACCGCAUACGACCUACGGGGGAACGAGGGGGAUCGCAAGACCUCUCGCUAUUGGAGCGGCCGAUGUAGGAUUAGGUAGUUGGUGGGGCAAAGGCCUACCAAGCCUACGAUCUGUAGCUGGUCUGAGAGGACGACCAGCCACACUGGGACUGAGACACGGCCCAGACUCCUACGGGAGGCAGCAGUGGGGAAUUUUGGACAAUGGGCGCAAGCCUGAUCCAGCCAUGCCGCGUGCGGGAAGAAGGCCUUCGGGUUGUAAACCGCUUUUGUCAGGGAAGAAACGCUCUGGACUAAUACUCUGGGGUAAUGACGGUACCUGAAGAAUAAGCACCGGCUAACUACGUGCCAGCAGCCGCAGUAA
rnacentral:rRNA from 1 species